rnacentral:rRNA from 1 species
AAUAGAUACCCGGUAGUCCACGCCGUAAACGUUGGGCGCUAGGUGUGGGGCUCAUUCCACGAGUUCCGUGCCGCAGCUAACGCAUUAAGCGCCCCGCCUGGGGAGUACGGCCGCAAGGCUAAAACUCAAAGGAAUUGACGGGGGCCCGCACAAGCGGCGGAGCAUGUUGCUUAAUUCGAUGCAACGCGAAGAACCUUACCUAGGCUUGACAUGCACGGAAAUCUCGCAGAGAUGCGGGGUCCGUAAGGGCCGUGCACAGGUGGUGCAUGGUUGUCGUCAGCUCGUGUCGUGAGAUGUUGGGUUAAGUCCCGCAACGAGCGCAACCCUCGUUCCAUGUUGCCAGCACGUGAUGGUGGGGACUCAUGGGAGACUGCCGGGGUCAACGUCGGAGGAAGGUGGGGAUGACGUCAAAUCAUCAUGCCCCUUAUGUCUAGGGCUGCAAACAUGCUACAAUGGCCGGUACAAAGGGCUGCGAUACCGUGAGGUGGAGCGAAAUCCCAAAAAGCCGGUCUCAGUUCGGAUUGGGGU